rnacentral:rRNA from 1 species
CCUACGGGAGGCAGCAGUGGGGAAUAUUGGACAAUGGGCGGAAGCCUGAUCCAGCAACGCCGCGUGAGGGAUGUCGGCCUUCGGGUUGUAAACCUCUUUCGGUGGGGACGAAGCGCAAGUGACGGUACCCACUAAAGAAGCACCGGCCAACUACGUGCCAGCAGCCGCGGUAAUA